GAGCCGGUAGCUCAGUUGGUAGAGCAACUGACUUUUAAUCAGUAGGUCCAGGGUUCGAGCCCCUGCCGGCUCACCA
rnacentral:tRNA from 1 species